rnacentral:lncRNA from 1 species
GUGGAAAAGGGUGAUUCAAGGUGGAAAUUAUGCUUUGCCAGGUUUACUGACCAAGGUGCACACACGUGUGCACAUAAACCCAAAAGAAAUGCACUCAUACACAGGUACACAGCACGUUGCCCAUACAUACUACAUGCACACAUGAAUCACCUACACACAAACACACAAUCACAGCAUGAUGCACUUACACAUAUACACUUGUACAGUGCACACCUGUGCACACACAGACAUUCUACAGAUACUACCUUCCAUCUGUGUCUGUCUCAGCCCCCUGCCCUGGGUACACUUUGGCACCAUGAAAUAGCUGAGUUCCAGUGCGGGGACCCAGAACUCACUUCCUCCCAUUGUUUCUGAGAUGGCCAGGCAGAUGAGCUUUGGAGACACUGAUCCUUUAGUGGCCUGGUAUCCAGCCAUCACACUGUGCCACACCUUGGCAGGACGCAGCUGCCAUCCCCAUUCCCCAGAGCCUUCCCACAACAUCACCUGCUGUGACACGAUCUGAACCUGGAGCUGGGGUGUGGCCCCGUGGUAGUGUGCUUGCGUAGUGUGUGCCAGGCCUUGGGUUCCAUCCCCAGAACUGCAAAGAGGAAAAGGAAAAACCCUGCAUCUACUGCAUGCCCUAGGGAAGAAGCCAGUCAGGGGAGUUGAAAUUUCAUGCAGUUUGCAUCAGUUCGCCACUUGUAGGAAAGGACACCAGGCUCAAGUUCUCCUGGGAAGAGCAGAAGCCAUUGCCAGUCCUGGCCUGAGUGGGUCCUUGCUCCGCACCAGCAGGGAGGCAACCUGGUCCAGCUGCCAACCCUGCUGGGCCCUGGGUGGCCUUGUCCCUGGGGUGUGGGACCUAACAAGGGACCGUAAACAGCCUUUGAAGUUCUGUACUAAAGGUGAAUGCGCUUCUGUUUUUCCUGGGGAGAAGUUCACAGAGUUCCGUAAAAUGAGAAGUCAUGAAUAUUUCCUGCCCAGAUGGCCCUGGGCCUGAGGUCAGCCAGCUCCGAGAAAUCAAGGGCUCCUCCUGGCCUUCCACCCAACAGUUCCCUGGCCCCAGCCAGUCCCAGCCUGGGUUCCCACGGGGGCUGUGACCCGGAGCUGCCCAGUCACCUGUGUGAUGGUCACUCUGUGAGUUGAUAGCAGAGUCCACCCCACCACUGCAGCUUUGCUUCCCAUCACCCAGGGGGACACAGCAGACCCAGUGAGGUGGGAAAGGCUCUGGAAUUCCUCACUGCCCCCUCGGAAAUGCCUCUGCCAUCCAGUGGAUCAAAGCCAUUCCCCGGUGGCCAGCUGGUCUCACUUAGCCCUGGAAUUUCCUGAUUUUCACUGGAAAGUCCUGCAUUCCCAGAAACCUGGGCAGACCAGAAGGGGAGAGCACAUCAGCCCUCUUUCUGUUCCUCAUAUCCUGUGAGGCUACCUGCCUUCGUCCUAGCCAGAACUAUGCCAAACCAAUCAGUGGACUGAUUUAGUAAUCACACACCCUUGAUCCCAGCACCAUACACGCUAGAUCCAGCCACCUGUGAAAAGCACCCCCUAUGACUGCAUGAGGCACUGGGGGGACAUCGAGACACAGCCAUGACAUUCUGCCCCUGGGCCCCCAAAGACUCAUGCACAUCCCCUUUAUGCAAAAGGCCAUCUCCCAGAGUUGCCAAAGUCCUCGCAUUUUCCCCAUUGCUGGAAAGUCCAGUCUCCUCUUGAGAUUUAAAUCACUCUUAGCUGCAAGCCCCUGAACAAAUGAAAAGAAAGCUAAACACUUCCAAUAUGCAAAGGCACAAGAUGGACAUUUACAUCCCAAAAGGUACAAAUAGGGAGAUAAAAUAGGGAGGGGAGGGGGAUUGAGGGGGGGGAAUGGGAUAAAAUAAAAUUUAUUUUAAAAAAAUAGAUACAAAGGAAUGGGACCAAAACAAAUCCAAAAUCCAGCAGGGCAAACAUUAAGUCCUGUAGUCCCACUUCCAGUAUCCCCAGCAGUCUGUGAGAGUUGUAAACUCCAAAGGGCGCCGUAGUUUUAGCUCCCAUGGCUUCUCUCUGGGGCCAGCUCUGCUCCCUCCUUGCAGCUUUCCUCAGAUGGUCCACACUUCUGG